UACGUAGGGUCCGAGCGUUGUCCGGAAUUAUUGGGCGUAAAGAGCUCGUAGGCGGUUUGUCGCGUCUGCUGUGAAAUCCCGAGGCUCAACCUCGGGCCUGCAGUGGGUACGGGCAGACUGGAGUGCGGUAGGGGAGAAUGGAAUUCCUGGUGUAGCGGUGGAAUGCGCAGAUAUCAGGAGGAGCACCGAUGGCGAAGGCAGUUCUCUGGGCCGUAACUGACGCUGAGGAGCGAAAGCGUGGGGAGCGAACAGG
rnacentral:rRNA from 1 species